UGGCGGCGUGGUUGAUACAUGCAAGUCGAGCGGGAACGGUUCCUUCGGGAGCCUAGUACAGCGGCGGACGGGCGAGUAACGCGUGAUUAUCUACCCCAGGGAGAGGGAUAGCCACUCGAAAGGGUGGGUAAUACCUCAUAAGACCACGGAGUCGCAUGGCUUCGCGGUAAAAAGGUUGGGAUCUUCGGACCUUCCGCCUUGGGAUGAAAUCGCGUCCUAUUAGCUUGUUGGUGGGGUAACGGGCUACCAAGGCAGCGAUGGGUAGCCGGCCUGAGAGGGUGGACGGCCACACUGGAACUGAGACACGGUCCAGACUCCUACGGGAGGCAGCAGUGCUGAAUUAUUCGCCAAUGCGCGAAAGCGUGACGGUGCGACGCCGCGUGCAGGAUGAAGGCCUUCGGGUCGUAAACUGCUGUCAGGGUUUAGGAAACCGUAGAGGUUAAUAGCCUCUGCGCUGACCAGGCCCAAAGGAAGCACAGGCUAAUCUCGUGCCAGCAGCCGCGGUAAUACGAGAUGUGCAAGCGUUGUUCGGAAUCCCUGGGCAUAAAGGGUGCGCACGCGGUUCGCUACGUCAGGUGUGAAAUCCCACGGCU
rnacentral:rRNA from 1 species